UACGGGGGGGGCAAGCGUUGUUCGGAAUUACUGGGCGUAAAGGGCUCGUAGGUGGCCAACUAAGUCGGACGUGAAAUCCCUCGGCUUAACCGGGGAACUGCGUCUGAUACUGGAUGGCUUGAGAUUGGGAGAGGGAUGCGGAAUUCCAGGUGUAGCGGUGAAAUGCGUAGAUAUCUGGAGGAACACCGGUGGCGAAGGCGGCAUCCUGGACCAACACUGACACUGAGGAGCGAAAGCCAGGGGAGCAAACGGG
rnacentral:rRNA from 1 species